rnacentral:rRNA from 1 species
AUUGAACGCUGGCGGCAUGCUUUACACAUGCAAGUCGAGCGGCAGCGCGGGGGCAACCCUGGCGGCGAGCGGCGGACGGGUGAGUAAUGCAUCGGAACGUAUCCCGUAGUGGGGGACAACCCAGCGAAAGCUGGGCUAAUACCGCAUAUGCUCUACGGAGGAAAGUGGGGGACCCGCAAGGGCCUCACGCUAUGGGAGCGGCCGAUGUCCGAUUAGCUAGUUGGUGGGGUAAAGGCCCACCAAGGCGACGAUCGGUAGCUGGUCUGAGAGGAUGAUCAGCCACACUGGGACUGAGACACGGCCCAGACUCCUACGGAGGCAGCAGUGGGGAAUUUUGGAC